GGUGUUUUUUUUCCCGGGGGGGGGCCCUCGGAGGGAUCAUUACCGAGUUUACAACUCCCAAACCCAAUGUGAACGUUACCAAACUGUUGCCUCGGCGGGAUCUCUGCCCCGGGUGCGUCGCAGCCCCGGACCAAGGCGCCCGCCGGAGGACCAACCAAAACUCUUAUUGUAUACCCCCUCGCGGGUUUUUUUUAUAAUCUGAGCCUUCUCGGCGCCUCUCGUGGGCGUUUCGAAAAUGAAUCAAAACUUUCAACAACGGAUCUCUUGGUUCUGGCAUCGAUGAAGAACGCAGCGAAAUGCGAUAAGUAAUGUGAAUUGCAGAAUUCAGUGAAUCAUCGAAUCUUUGAACGCACAUUGCGCCCGCCAGUAUUCUGGCGGGCAUGCCUGUCCGAGCGUCAUUUCAACCCUCGAACCCCUCCGGGGGGUCGGCGUUGGGGAUCGGCCCUGCCUUGGCGGUGGCCGUCUCCGAAAUACAGUGGCGGUCUCGCCGCAGCCUCUCCUGCGCAGUAGUUUGCACACUCGCAUCGGGAGCGCGGCGCGUCCACAGCCGUUAAACACCCAACUUCUGAAAUGUGACCUCGGAUCAGUAGGAAACCCCAGUU
rnacentral:rRNA from 1 species